UACGAAGGGGGCUAGCGUUGUUCGGAAUUACUGGGCGUAAAGGGCGCGUAGGCGGUGUGCCAAGUCAGGUGUGAAAGCCCCGGGCUCAACCUGGGAACGGCGCUUGAGACUGGCACGCUCGAGUUCGGGAGAGGAUGGUGGAAUUCCCAGUGUAGAGGUGAAAUUCGUAGAUAUUGGGAAGAACACCGAUGGCGAAGGCAGCCAUCUGGACCGACACUGACGCUGAGGCGCGAAAGCGUGGGGAGCAAACAGG
rnacentral:rRNA from 1 species